AGCGUGUGACAAAGGAUAUCUGGAAAGCUGAUAUAUAUAACCUCCUUUCGAUGAGUAUAAGGUCAGUGUAGAUAAUAAAUGAAACAUUGAAGAUGUCCCGAAUACCGAUAUUCCUGUGCAUCCUGGUCCUAACCACGGCAGUGCUUUGCGAGGAUCCGCCCACUACGAAGGAUGAACACCAGAAACAAGAUCAUCCGAAACAGGAUCAUCCAAAACAGGACCAUCCAAAGCUGGACCAUCCGAAACAAACAGGCUCAAUCAACCCUCCCGAACAACAUUACAAAAUGCCCAAACAACCUGACAUGCCUGAUAUGAAAACACCGCAAAUGCCCAAUUACAACCAGAAGUAGUAUUUAGAAUUUGUAGUGUCAAUAUGUCCAGUUCUUGAAAAUUGUACUUAAAUUGAUUAGUAUGGAACAUAUACAAUUUUAAUUGCAUACGUUCAUUCAAAUUAUACAUUUUCAUUUUACACCCAUUGUAAUUUAAAAGCUAUGGUAGUAUUAUUUUAGUAUUAUUAUAUGUAUACCAGUAAGAAACAAACUAGAAGGCUUAGGUUAAGGAAGUGAUGCUUGUUGAAUUCCAAAAGAUUCUACUUAUCCAUAUCUUGAUUUGUGCUGGUUUACAGGACCCAAAAGCCAAUGGAUUAAAUAUCAUUAGAAAGGUCUAAAAAGUUGGCCAGUAAAAUAGUUCAAAUCUAAUGCGGCAAGGAAGUACCUAGUCGUACGUAUGCCGUACGAAUUAUACAUAUAUAAUUAUUCAUACGGAUAUAAGAUUAUUUUUUAAUUUUUUAAUAAACCAAUUCGUACGGUUUACGUGUAUAUAGUCACUUCCAUGCGACCACGAAUCCAAUAUCUAUUUAUUAAUUUGUCUAAUAUCUGUUAAUGUGUUGUUUUAAGAACUGGACUUUCAACUUUCAAUAAAAACAAAGAUAGCUGGCAAUGUUAAACUGACUAUGUGAAAUAUGUAGGUACCUUCUAUUAUAUUUAUGUAAUUUACUUUAGAAUAUGAAGCAUAAUAAAUUCAGUUGCAACUGU